rnacentral:lncRNA from 1 species
GAUUUUGAUCUAUGAUCCAAGAAGUUUAUGAGAGAUUAAAUUUAAGUGCUGAUUAAUUUUAAAUUAGAUCUGAAUUAAUUAGACUUCAUUGAAUUCAAAAUUUCAAGUUAGACUUGAUCCUUAAGUCCUAAACAGUUUCGGAUUAACAGCUUUUUGAAAUUAUUUCGAACCAGCUUCAAAUUGGAUUCGAAUUGGAUUCUUUUUGGAUG